rnacentral:rRNA from 16 species
GGAUGCGAUCAUACCAGCACUAAAGCACCCGGAUCCCAAUCAGAACUYCGAAGUUAAGCGUGCUUGGGCGAGAGUAGGUACUAGGAUGGGUGACCUCCUCGGAAGUCCUAUUGUUGCAUCCC